GCAAGGAGGGAUACAGGUACGGUCUGGAGUGUCUGUUCAGGUACUAUAGCUACGGACUAGAGAGGAAAUUCAGACCAGACAUCUUCAAAGACUUCCAGGAGGAGACCAUGAAAGACUACGAAGCUGGCCAGCUGUAUGGACUAGAGAAGUUUUGGGCGUUUCUUAAAUACUCCAAAAACAAGAACAUGGAGAUCGACCCCAAGCUGCAGGAGUGCCUGAGCAAGUUCAAGCGUCUUGAAGAUUUCAGA